AUGAAAAUCAAUGACCAAAUAACCAUGACAGCAUGCUGAACAACGUUAGCGAAAUUGCAGCAGUAGGCUGGUGAGAAACACAAUAGCAUUCAUGAGCUUAUUUCGGCCGACAACCAUACCGUCACGGACCAUAAGAGCAUACAUAAUAGGCAUUAAAAUUCGUCACAUAUCGCAUUUUAUAAGUAGCGCUCCAUUUUCUGUUGUGAAUUGUAAGACCUAAUUAUAUUCAAAAGGGGAUACGUGUGCAUUAAAAUAACGUGAUUACAUCAUUCUUUCACCAGAGCCGGCGUUUCUUUCUGCAUCAAGGCGUACCAGCGUAUUGGAAUUUCUGGUUGUAAUGGCAGGACGCAUCACAGCAUUUCUUUUCAUGUGUGCCGUAUUCGCCUACGGCGUCAUGGUUAUUGCAGCCAGUCAAGAUGCUACAGCACGAGGAAGUUCAGUGCCGGCGAGUGCUGCCAAUGAGGAUGCAAGAAUCUCAUCAGCUGCGAUCGGAAGCUUGGCGGGUGGAGGCCUCGGCUGAAACUCACGUGAUUGGCUGCACCGAGAGAGCAGCGCGAGAGAACCGACUUUUGUCGCGUGCUCGCUUUAUUCUUUAGCGAGCGCAUUGUUCACCGCUCAAAUGGAAUAAAUGUCGCAACAUCA